rnacentral:misc_RNA from 1 species
GAGAGCAAGAACAGAAAGUGAGAUAUGCACUAUAUGAAUCUUUCGAAUUAUCCAAUAUUUCUUCCUCAGGGGCGAAGUGAGAAGGUGCUUGUGAAAACUUAGAUGACAAAGGGUCCGCUCAGUGGUUUCCGUUCAGCUGGCCAAGCUCCCUGUACUUGUUAGAAUAGUAGGUUUAGCUGUCAUCAUUUUCUAUUGUACCUUCAGCAUUCAACAUUUAUUUCAUUGCUAUUCAAAGCUCAGUUGAACAUUUGAAAAAAGAACAGGUUUGAAUGUGGGCGAUCUUUCUCUUCUUUCCUCUUUUGUCUUUUUCUUCCACUUAGAUAGUAAAUGCCUGAUUGGCUACCAUGCAGUCCUUGUUAAAAUCCCCUAGCUAUGUGGUAAUGGUGUGUAGAUUGUUGUUACAUUGUCCAUAACGAUGAAUCUCAUAUCUGAC